AUUGAACGCUGGCGGCAGGCUUACCACAUGCAAGUCGAACGAUGAAACUCUAGCUUGCUAGAGAUGAUUAGUGGCGGACGGGUGAGUAACAUUUAGGAAUCUGCCUAGUAGUGGGGGAUAGCUCGGGGAAACUCGAAUUAAUACCGCAUACGACCUACGGGUGAAAGGGGGCGCAAGCUCUUGCUAUUAGAUGAGCCUAAAUCAGAUUAGCUAGUUGGUGGGGUAAAGGCCCACCAAGGCGACGAUCUGUAACUGGUCUGAGAGGAUGAUCAGUCACACCGGAACUGAGACACGGUCCGGACUCCUACGGGAGGCAGCAGUGGGGAAUAUUGGACAAUGGGGGCAACCCUGAUCCAGCCAUGCCGCGUGUGUGAAGAAGGCCUUUUGGUUGUAAAGCACUUUAAGCAGGGAGGAGAGGCUAAUGGUUAAUACCCAUUAGAUUAGACGUUACCUGCAGAAUAAGCACCGGCUAACUCUGUG
rnacentral:rRNA from 1 species